AAUGAACGCUGGCGGCGUGCUUAACACAUGCAAGUCGUACGAGAAAUCUUCAGCUUGCUGAAGAGAGUAAAGUGGCGCACGGGUGAGUAACGCGUGGGUAAUCUACCCUUGAAUCGGGGAUAACAUUGCGAAAGCGAUGCUAAUACCGGAUGACAUCAUAUUAACCUAGGUUUUUAUGAUCAAAGAUGACCUCUACAUGUAAGUUGUUGUUUGAGGAGGAGCCCGCGUACCAUUAGCUUGUUGGUAGGGUAACGGCCUACCAAGGCUACGAUGGUUAGCUGGUCUGAGAGGAUGAUCAGCCACACUGGAACUGACACACGGUCCAGACUCCUACGGGAGGCAGCAGUGAGGAAUUUUGCGCAAUGGGGGAAACCCUGACGCAGCAACGCCGCGUGAGUGAUGAAGGCUUUCGGGUCGUAAAGCUCUGU
rnacentral:rRNA from 1 species